rnacentral:sRNA from 1 species
GUCCACGUGCUGGGGCCUGUCCUUCGUCGUGCCUGGAGCCAUUGUGGCAGCCAUGGGGAUAGUGUGCUUUCUCUUCCUCAUUGAACAUCCGAAGGACGUCAGGUGCUCCUCCACCCUGGUGACGGUAAGGACCCUGUUUUCUUGUCCUUUUCUAGAACAGUGUGCAGUUCUGACCACUUCCCCAGCCUGCUCCUGCCUGUGCGGUGUCAGACAGAAACACACAGGGUAGACAGAAGUCCCACCCUCAAAAUAUUGGCAGUUCUAGGAGUAGAGAAUAUUCUGUUUCGGGUUUUGCUGAUAAUAACCUUAUCAACAAAACCCAGACAAGAGGUUCGAUGCUGUGCAGAUGAAGGACUUCAUGCUAAGGGAACCAAAGGCUGGGUCCCGGCCAGGCCUCCUCAGGAGUGGACACCUCCUGGUUUCCCCAGGGGCCUCAGCGUGACUGGGGAAAAAUGCACGUGUCAGCUGGCUGCCAUCACUUAAGUUGGUGGCUGCACGUCUCAGGUGGCCGAGAGGUCUGCCCAGCACGCCAUUCCUUCUCUUCUGUACCCCUGCCCAGCUCAGCCAGCAUAGGCCCUGCAGGCGGGAUUGCUGACCACGUUGGCUGCCAUGAACGAGCCCUGCCCUAGCUGCCUCCACCCGCAGCUAGUCACCACUGGCUAAGGCCAGCCCUCCCGUGGUACCG